AAUGAACGUUGGCGGCGUGGAUUAGGCAUGCAAGUCGUGCGGAAAGGCUCCUUCGGGAGUACUCGAGCGGCGAAAGGGAGAGUAACGCGUGGAUAUCUACCCCCUGGCCUGGGAUAGCGGCGGGAAACUGCCGGUAAUACCAGAUAAUAUCUGCGGAUCAAAGGUGUGAUUCCGCCGGGGGAUGAGUCCGCGUCCCAUUAGCUAGUUGGUGAGGUAACGGCCCACCAAGGCUGAGAUGGGUACCGGGUGUGAGAGCAUGGCCCGGCUCACUGGGACUGAGACACUUCCCAGACACCUACGGGUGGCUGCAGUCGAGAAUCUUCGGCAAUGGGCGCAAGCCUGACCGAGCGACGCCGCGUGCGGGAUGAAGGCCUUCGUGUUGUAAACCGCUGUCAGAGGGGAGGAAAUGCAUGGGGGUUCUCCCUCAUGUUUGACCUAUCCUCAGAGGAAGUACGGGCUAAGUUCGUGCCAGCCGCCGCGGUAA
rnacentral:rRNA from 1 species